rnacentral:lncRNA from 1 species
UGAAAUAGAAAGUCAAACAUUCUUUUCCUCCCACAGACUUGUCUACACGUCCUCAGGCUGGAGAGAACAUCAAGGAGGGAAUUUCAUGACUGCAAAUCGGUCUUUCCAAAAUAAUAUUCCUAAUGAUAGCUACUGUUUACGGAGUGCUUCCUCUGCGUGCCGGGCCUGCACUUGCUGAGCACCGUGCAUCCGAUAGCCAUAAUCAACUAAAUUUACUUCAUGCUUACCAACGGGUUGCUGUGGAUGGUCUGAAGAAAACCACUGAUGUAAGAUAAUCAUCAUUCAUUAAAUUCUAACCCCACCCCUAUGAGAGUACUCAGUGUGCAAGUUCUGCAGCCAGCCUAUCCAGCAUCCUUAUAUGAUAUCAACUCUCUGCUUUUCCUCUGGAGGAUCACCCCUUCGCCUCCAUGUGGUCCUGGUGAGACUGCCUAUCUUAGCAACCGCCCC